UGAAAAUUGCCCUAUAAAGUGUCUAAAGGC
rnacentral:piRNA from 1 species